UACAGAGGGUGCGAGCGUUAAUCGGAAUUACUGGGCGUAAAGCGUGCGUAGACGGCUAUCUAAGUCGGGUGUGAAAGCCCCGGGCUCAACCUGGGAAUUGCAUUCGAGACUGAAUAGCUAGGGUACGGUAGAGGGAAGCGGAAUUUCCGGUGUAGCGGUGAAAUGCGUAGAUAUCGGGAGGAAUACCAGUGGCGAAGGCGGCUGCCUGGCCUGUUCUUGACGCUGAGGCGCGAAAGCUGGGGGAGCAAACGGG
rnacentral:rRNA from 1 species